AUGUUCACUGUUAUAUUCAUGUAUCUGUGGCUUUCACUGGGUGACUCCAUGGCAGAUCCAAUAGAGCCACUUUUUACUCAUAAAGUUGUAGAUGAAGGUGAUGAUGUUACUCUGUCCUGCAGCUACAAAGACUUCAGUGGUGACAUAUAUAAUGUGCAGUGGUACAGACAAUAUCCAAAAUCUAAACCUGAGUUCCUCCUUCAUAUUCACCAAAAUGGAAAUCAAAAAUCCAGCACUCCCCCAAGAAUGUCUGCUAAAGUUGAUGAUAAACAAGUGGAUCUGAUCAUCUCCUCUGCUGCUGUAUCAGACUCUGCUCUAUAUUACUGUGCUCUGGUGCCCACAGUGACAGGAAAUCCAGCUGCACUGUACAAAAACGUUCACACAGUUUUGUUACACUUAAGGCAGUUCUGCUGAUGAUUUAGAAAAAUCACAUAUUCACACACUCCUAGAGGCAAUUUGUAAUUAAAUUAGAAUUGCACUAAAGAUAAUGCAUGGCUCCACAUAUAUAACACUGAACAAUAUAUAGUAUUUAAGACCAUUCCAUGAGACCUGCAAUGAC